CUAGUAAUCGUGGAUCAGCAUGCCACGGUGAAUACGUUCCCGGGUCUUGUACACACCGCCCGUCACACCAUGGGAGCCGGUAAUACCCGAAGUCAGUAGUCUAACCGCAAGGAGGACGCUGCCGAAGGUAGGAUUGGCGACUGGGGUGAAGUCGUAACAAGGUAUC
rnacentral:rRNA from 1 species